GACGUAGGGGGCCAGCGUUGUUCGGAAUUACUGGGUGUAAAGGGUUCGUAGGCGGUGUGGCAAGUCGGGAGUGAAAUUUCUGGGCUCAACUCAGAGACUGCUUCCGAAACUGCUGUGCUUGAGGACUGGAGAGGAGACUGGAAUUUACGGUGUAGCGGUGAAAUGCGUAGAUAUCUGGAGGAACACCGGUGGCGAAGGCGGCAUCCUGGACCGACACUGACGCUGAGGAGCGAAAGCCAGGGGAGCAAACGGG
rnacentral:rRNA from 1 species